rnacentral:rRNA from 1 species
UACGAAGGGGGCUAGCGUUGCUCGGAAUCACGGGGCGUAAAGGGCGCGUAGGCGGCCAUUCAAGUCGGAGGUGAAAGCCCAGGGCUCAACCCUGGAAUUGCCUUCGAUACUGUCUGGCUAGAGACCGGAAGAGGUAAGUGGAACUGCGAGUGUAGAGGUGAAAUUCGUAGAUAUUCGCAAGAACACCAGUGGCGAAGGCGGCUUACUGGUCCGGUUCUGACGCUGAGGCUCGAAAGCGUGGGGAUCAAACAGG